UCCAGACUCCUACGGGAGGCAGCAGUGGGGAAUAUUGCACAAUGGGGGAAACCCUGAUGCAGCGACGCCGCGUGAGUGAAGAAGUAUUUCGGUAUGUAAAGCUCUCUCAGCAGGGAAGAAGAAAGACGGUACCUGACUAAGAAGCCCCGGCUAACUACGUGCCAGCAGCCGCGGUAAUACGUAGGGGGCAAGCGUUAUCCGGAUUUACUGGGUGUAAAGGGAGCGUAGACGGCGACGCAAGUCUGAAGUGAAAUGCCAGUGCUCAACACUGGAACUGCUUUGGAAACUGUGUGGCUAGAGUGCAGGAGAGGUAAGUGGAAUUCCUAGUGUAGCGGUGAAAUGCGUAGAUAUUAGGAGGAACACCAGUGGCGAAGGCGACUUUCUGGACAGUAACUGACGUUGAGGCACGAAAGUGUGGGGAGCAAACAGGAUUAGAUACCCUGUAA
rnacentral:rRNA from 1 species